UACAGAGGGUGCAAGCGUUAAUCGGAAUUACUGGGCGUAAAGCGUGCGUAGUCGGUUAUUCAAGUCGGGCGUGAAAGCCCCGGGCUCAACCUGGGAAUUGCAUUCGAUACUGUUUAGCUAGAGUUCGGCAGAGGGAAGUGGAAUUUCCGGUGUAGCGGUGAAAUGCGUAGAUAUCGGAAGGAACAUCAGUGGCGAAAGCGACUUCCUGGACCAGAACUGACGAUCAGGCACGAAAGCGUGGGGAGCAAACAGGAUUAGAUACCCCCGUAGUCC
rnacentral:rRNA from 1 species